rnacentral:rRNA from 1 species
UACAGAGGGGGCAAGCGUUGUUCGGAAUUACUGGGCGUAAAGGGCGCGUAGGCGGCCUGCUAAGUCGAACGUGAAAUCCCCGGGCUCAACCCGGGAACUGCGUCCGAUACUGGUUGGCUUGAAUCCGGGAGAGGGAUGCGGAAUUCCAGGUGUAGCGGUGAAAUGCGCAGAUAUCGGGAAGAACACCCGUGGCGAAGGCGGCUCUCUGGAACGCAACUGACGCUGAGACGCGAAAGCGUGGGGAGCAAACAGG